rnacentral:rRNA from 1 species
UACGAAGGGGGCUAGCGUUGCUCGGAAUUACUGGGCGUAAAGCGCACGUAGGCGGACUCUUAAGUCAGGGGUGAAAUCCUGGAGCUCAACUCCAGAACUGCCUUUGAUACUGGGAGUCUUGAGUUCGGGAGAGGUGAGUGGAACUGCGAGUGUAGAGGUGAAAUUCGUAGAUAUUCGCAAGAACACCAGUGGCGAAGGCGGUUCUCUGGGCCUGUACUGACGCUGAGGAGCGAAAGCGUGGGGAGCGAACAGG